rnacentral:rRNA from 1 species
GAUGAACGCUGGCGGCGUGCCUAAUACAUGCAAGUCGAGCGAAUGGAUUAAGAGCUUGCUCUUAUGAAGUUAGCGGCGGACGGGUGAGUAACACGUGGGUAACCUGCCCAUAAGACUGGGAUAACUCCGGGAAACCGGGGCUAAUACCGGAUAACAUUUUGAACCGCAUGGUUCGAAAUUGAAAGGCGGCUUCGGCUGUCACUUAUGGAUGGACCCGCGUCGCAUUGGCUAGUCGGUGAGGUAACGGCUCACAAAGGCAACGAUGCGUAGCCGACCUGGGAGGGUGAGCGGCCACACUGGGACUGAGACACGGCCCAGACUCCUACGGGAGGCAGCAGUAGGGAAUCUUCCGCAAUGGACGAAAGUCUGACGGAGCAACGCCGCGUGAGUGAUGAAGGCUUUCGGGUCGUAAAACUCUGUUGUUAGGGAAGAACAAGUGCUAGUUGAAUAAGCUGGCACCUUGACGGUACCUAACCAGAAAGCCACGGCUAACUACGUGCCAGCAGCCGCCGUAA